rnacentral:rRNA from 1 species
CCUACGGGAGGCAGCAGUGGGGAAUAUUGGACAAUGGGGGCAACCCUGAUCCAGCCAUGCCGCGUGUGUGAAGAAGGCCCUCGGGUUGUAAAGCACUUUCAGCGAGGAAGAACGCCUAGCGGUUAAUACCCGCUAGGAAAGACAUCACUCGCAGAAGAAGCACCGGCUAACUCCGUGCCAGCAGCCGCGGUAAUACGGAGGGUGCAAGCGUUAAUCGGAAUUACUGGGCGUAAAGCGCGCGUAGGUGGCUUGAUAAGCCGGUUGUGAAAGCCCCGGGCUCAACCUGGGAACGGCAUCCGGAACUGUCAAGCUAGAGUGCAGGAGAGGAAGGUAGAAUUCCCGGUGUAGCGGUGAGAUGCGUAGAGAUCGGGAGGAAUACCAGUGGCGAAGGCGGCCUUCUGGACUGACACUGACACUGAGGUGCGAAAGCGUGGGUAGCAAACAGGAUUAGAUACCCUGGUAGUCCACGCCGUAAACGAUGUCGACCAGCCGUUGGGUGCCUAGCGCACUUUGUGGCGAAGUUAACGCGAUAAGUCGACCGCCUGGGGAGUACGGCCGCAAGGUUAAAACUCAAAUGAAUUGACGGA